GGGGAUGUUUUGGUUUUGACAGCGUUGAUGUCGGACAGUAAGCAUGCCGGGCUCCGGGGAAUGGCCCGUAAAAACCGUCUCCUGCCAAAUUUAGUUGCCAACAACAACUACGCACUCGCUGCCUAAUCUGACUCAGUCAAUUAGCUUAAUCCGCGGCGCCUAGGCUGCGCCGCCGACGAGUAUCCCUCGGACUUUAGGCCGGUUAUGUUCCGAUCCAGGGGUAUCAUUCAAACCGGAUGCGUGAGACGACUCUCCUACCUCUCAUUAAGUUUCAGGGGAUAAGCCGCGGUUGGCCCGUCUUCCGGCACUCCACGGACGAAAACCAAAGGAAGAAUAAGCAUGUAGAAAGCUGCCUGGUGCGGCGUUUGGACGGCGGUUCGAGUCCGCCCAUCUCCACUG
rnacentral:tmRNA from 1 species